rnacentral:misc_RNA from 1 species
GGGUUACGUGGGGGAUUUGGAUCCGAGAGGUCUCGGAGAGGGAUCUGGAGGAUGAAUUCAGAAUGUAUGGUGUUCUUAGAAGUGUGUGGGUUGCACGAAGGCCACCGGGAUAUGCAUUUGUGGAGUUUGAUGAUCGCAGGGAUGCCAUGGAUGCAAUUCGUGCAUUGGAUGGAAAGAAUGGGUGGCGAGUGGAGCUUUCUCAUAAUUCCAAAGGUGGCGGUGGACGUGGUGGUGGUGGUGGUGGUGGACGUGGACGUGGCGGUGAGGACUUGAAAUGUUAUGAAUGUGGUGAACCUGGUCAUUU